AUGUCUGCCGAUUGGAGUGACGAUAACACUAUGAUCUUGACUGAGCUCUUUGUCCAACAAGUGCAUGCUGGCAAUACGCCAGACAAUUACUUGACUCAAAAUGAUUAAGAGGAAGUUGCAUAGGAUUUCAAAGUCAGAACAGGUCUGGAGUACCCCAGGCUCCAACUGAGGAACAAGUGGGAUAAGUUGAAGACUGGUUAUAGCAAUUUUAUAAAACUCAAGUUGAAGGAGACUAGUGGUGGGUGGGACUAUGAGAGAAACACCAUCAAACAACAUGCUGAAUGGUGGAAGAAAGCAAAGAUAGACAUCCCUAGUUGUGGUAAGUCCCGAAAAUGUGGACAUUGAAAUGAGAAUAACUUAUCGAUCAUGUUUGGUGACAUCACGAGUGAUGGUACAAAUCACUGGAAUCCCGCUUCAGGCACCAUUCCCCAAUCUAGCAGUGCAUCAGUUUUCAAUGUGGACAACAUACACGAUAUUGAUCUAGAGGAGACACAAAUAGGUGAGUCACGUGCUGAUGGAAAAGGGAAGAGACUUGGCAGAUUUGUGGAUGGUAAUAACAAGAAACUGAAGACACCACUUGUUAUGCAAGAACAUGUAACAAGAGUUGGAGAUACAGCAUAGAGGACCCAAUCUAGCUUUGAGUCAUACAUGAAGAAAGAAGAAAGUUCAUUGCUUACUUCCGUGAUGGAUCUGGUUGUUUAGUGCGCUGCAAUAGUAGGUAGUGAUGAAUGUUUCAUUGCUAGUGAACUAUUUGUGAAUAGAGAGCAGGGAGAGAUGUUCCUACACAUGACUAAAAGUGCUGCUCAUUUUGAUUGGUUGCGUAGGAAAUACAACACCAAGUAUGUGCAUUAG
rnacentral:rRNA from 1 species